UAUUGCCCCAAUCAAUCCAAAGAACAUGUACAAGAUAAUGAAGUAUGGAACCUGCCAAAGCCAUUUGGACUAAAUCCUGAACUUCUGACUCAGAAUGUGGUAGAUCAAAUUAUCAAGGCUUAUUUGUAGCCAAAUAAACAUUUUGAACUCUAGCACAGAAAUAAAUCUUACUGAUUCAAAUGCUUCUGAAGACUGACUUCAGGUUAGUCAGCAAUCAGGUUAGUCAGGAAAAUCCCCAUUGCUAUGAUGUGGUGGUUGCUAUUUCUCAUACCAAUUAUUGGCAUGAGGUAUUUCUCAUACCAAUUAUUGAAUUGUUCCUUUUAUUGAAAAUGAGAAUUUGGUAGGAGAUAAAAGAAAGGAGAUGGUAGCUUCUUAGCUUGUGUAGAACAGAAAUUAUUGCAGAAGCAACACCAGGUGGUGCAUGUUUUUCACUCAAGGCCUCUGAGUCAGCUGGGCCCAGCAGCCAAGAUGGCGGUGCCUCGCCUCAGGGACAGACUGGGGAAGAAAGAAGGGCACAGCACUGCCUGGCAGCCGCCAGAAAGGGGAGAAACAGCCCUGCCCUGCCGACACCUGGGGGAGAGGAGGAGGAGAAGGGCAGGAGUGGCUCCAGGUGCCGAAGCAGAGAUCCCCCUGCGGCCCCUGGGCAGAAGGCAGCGCUGGAGCAGAGGCAAGGUGUAGUUGUAACUACAAAACUUAUUAUGGGAAAAUACAAACACUUAGGACAUUGCCAUGAGGUGAAGCCUAUCCAAAAUCAAUGCUUGUAUAAGACGUGGACUACAUUGGCCCACGAGAUUCAGCAAUGUCUUAAACUACUGCAAAUAUUACUAGAUCUCAUCUGUAAAAAAUCUUACACUUUAGUGACCAGCGUUUCUGUCAAAAUUAACUCCAUCAGUUUGGAAUUACCUACUUUAGUUUUGCAAAAUGACCUUGACUUUAUUAGGCAGAGUUGAAGAAGUGUGAUUGAAGGAUGUUCUUCUUUGCAAGUUGACACAACAGUUCUUGGGCUUCAGCUGUGACCUGCUGCAAAGAAAUCUGUAAAACAAUUUUCUAAGAGGGUUGUCAUCUUUUAUGUGCCUACGUUCUCUGUUGGUACUGCAGCCCACUGAGUUUCCUUUACUCAUCUGUUCUACCUCCUGGAAAUGUGGUUAUCUUCCCAUGCUUCAGAUAACAAAUUCAACACAAAGAAUGUAAAAAACUUUUUUACAGAUUGCUAGAAAAUUUUCAGGCAGUUUUGAGGCAUGGUUAUCAGUUCCUCAUCACUACUUGGAAUUUUAAUAGCAUAAGAAAGUAAUUUACAGUUGGCGUUAGAAGUAUACAAACUAUACUUCACUUUUAUACAUAGAAUAGAAAUACUGUAUUUCUUUGAAAACAUGAUACAUGUUAAUGCAGUGGUUAUUUGAAUAGUUACAAAUGUUUAGUGUAACAACCAAACAGAGAAAAUUAGAGCAACCCCAAGGUGAUCUAUUUGGAACUUAAUAGGGUAUGGCAGAUCUUACAACCCAUAGCAGAGAGUGUAAACCAGCAAUAAAUACACAUUGUGAGAAAGCUCA
rnacentral:lncRNA from 1 species